UACGUAGGAUGCAAGCGUUGUCCGGAAUUAUUGGGCGUAAAGAGCGCGCAGGCGGUUUUACAAGUCAGAUGUGAAAGAGGCCGGCUUAACCGGCAAGGGUCAUUUGAAACUGUGAGACUAGAGUACAGCAGAGGAUAGCGGAAUUCCCGGUGUAGUGGUGAAAUGCGUAGAUAUCGGGAGGAACACCAGUGGCGAAGGCGGCUAUCUGGGCUGUAACUGACGCUGAGGCGCGAAGGCUAGGGUAGCAAACAGG
rnacentral:rRNA from 1 species